GAGUUUGAUCCUGGCUCAGGAUGAACGCUGGCGGCGUGCCUAAUACAUGCAAGUCGAGCGAACGGACGAGAAGCUUGCUUCUCUGAUGUUAGCGGCGGACGGGUGAGUAACACGUGGAUAACCUACCUAUAAGACUGGGAUAACUUCGGGAAACCGGAGCUAAUACCGGAUAAUAUUUUGAACCGCAAGGUUCAAAAGUGAAAGACGGUCUUGCUGUCACUUAUAGAUGGAUCCGCGCUGCAUUAGCUAGUUGGUAAGGUAACGGCUUACCAAGGCAACGAUGCAUAGCCGACCUGAGAGGGUGAUCGGCCACACUGGAACUGAGACACGGUCCAGACUCCUACGGGAGGCAGCAGUAGGGAAUCUUCCGCAAUGGGCGAAAGCCUGACGGAGCAACGCCGCGUGAGUGAUGAAGGUCUUCGGAUCGUAAAACUCUGUUAUUAGGGAAGAACAUAUGUGUAAGUAACUGUGCACAUCCUGACGGUACCUAAUCAGAAAGCCACGGCUAACUACGUGCCAGCAGCCGCGGUAAUACGUAGGUGGCAAGCGUUAUCCGGAAUUAUUGGGCGUAAAGCGCGCGUAGGCGGUUUUUUAAGUCUGAUGUGAAAGCCCACGGCUCAACCGUGGAGGGUCAUUGGAAACUGGAAAACUUGAGUGCAGAAGAGGGAAGUGGAAUUCCAUGUGUAGCGGUGAAAUGCGCAGAGAUAUGGAGGAACACCAGUGGCGAAAGCGACUUUCUGGUCUGUAACUGACGCUGAUGUGCGAAAGCGUGGGGAUCAACAGGAUUAGAUACCCUGGUAGUCCACGCCGUAAACGAUGAGUGCUAAGUGUUAGGGGUUUCCGCCCCUUAGUGCUGCAGCUAACGCAUUAAGCACUCCGCCUGGGGAGUACGACCGCAAGGUUGAAACUCAAAGGAAUUGACGGGGACCCGCACAAGCGGUGGAGCAUGUGGUUUAAUUCGAAGCAACGCGAAGAACCUUACCAAAUCUUGACAUCCUUUGACAACUCUAGAGAUAGAGCCUUCCCCUUCGGGGGACAAAGUGACAGGUGGUGCAUGGUUGUCGUCAGCUCGUGUCGUGAGAUGUUGGGUUAAGUCCCGCAACGAGCGCAACCCUUAAGCUUAGUUGCCAUCAUUAAGUUGGGCACUCUAUGUUGACUGCCGGUGACAAACCGGAGGAAGGUGGGGAUGACGUCAAAUCAUCAUGCCCCUUAUGAUUUGGGCUACACACGUGCUACAACGGACAAUACAAAGGGCAGCGAAACCGCGAGGUCAAGCAAAUCCCAUAAAGUUGUUCUCAGUUCGGAUUGUAGUCUGCAACUCGACUACAUGAAGCUGGAAUCGCUAGUAAUCGUAGAUCAGCAUGCUACGGUGAAUACGUUCCCGGGUCUUGUACACACCGCCCGUCACACCACGAGAGUUUGUAACACCCGAAGCCGGUGGAGUAACCUUUUAGGAGCUAGCCGUCGAAGGUGGGACAAAUAAUUGGGGUGAAGUCGUAACAAGGUAGCCGUAUCGGAAGGUGCGGCUGGAUCACCUCCUU
rnacentral:rRNA from 1 species